rnacentral:misc_RNA from 1 species
GUACUCUCAAGCUCUGCUUGGUGUUGGGUGCUGUCUAGCUACUAGACUCGCCUCAAAUGAAUUGGCAGCCAGUGUAUUGGUCUUGAGCGCAGCACAAUUUGCACUCUUGCCAGCUACAACUGGUAUCCAGAAGCCUUUUAUAAC